rnacentral:rRNA from 1 species
UACGUAGGGGGCAAGCGUUGUCCGGAUUUAUUGGGCGUAAAGAGCGUGUAGGCGGUUUGGUAGGUCCGCUGUGAAAACUCGAGGCUCAACCUCGAGACGCCGGUGGAAACCAUCAGACUAGAGUCCGGAAGAGGAGAGUGGAAUUCCUGGUGUAGCGGUGAAAUGCGCAGAUAUCAGGAAGAACACCCCGUGGCUAAGGCGGUUCUCUAGUACGGUACUGACGCUGAGACGCGAAAGCGUGGGGAGCGAACAGG